rnacentral:rRNA from 1 species
CACGUAGGCGGGUCUGAUAGUCGGUUGUGAAAGCCCGGGGCUCAACCCCGGAAUUGCUUCCGAAACUGCAGGCCUGGAGGACGAUAGGGGAGAGCGGAACUUCUGGUGGAGCGGUGAAAUGCGUAGAUAUCAGAAGGAACACCGGUGGCGAAAGCGGCUCUCUGGAUCGUUUCUGACGCUGAGGUGCGAAAGCUAGGGGAGCAAACG